UCGGAAGAGAGGAAUAAAAAAUAACAUGUUAUAUUAGUUUUAUUAUUUUUCUUAAGUGUCAGUAAUUCCGGAUCACAAUUUCUAUAUACAAAGUUAAUAAAGUUAAUACAUAAAACAUACAUAUAAAAGAACACAUUAUAAUGAUUAUACACAGAAUAAAAACAACCACAUGUGUCAGAAAUAUAAUAGUCACACAAUAUAAACAAUACAUUUGUCUUAAAUUAUGUACACAAAACAAAUUACAGACAUCGAAUAUGAGGCAGACUUAAUUUAACUAUUCAAAAUGAUAAGUUAUUAAAGUUAUUAAUUUAUUAUGUAAAUAGAAUGACAUUUCAUUAUCCAUUUCAUAGAGUUGCUUGGUUUUAUUUCAUUUUUAAUCCGUUUUCAUGGUAGAUCUAUAGCAUUUGCAUCAGCAUUGGUGUAUUUUGUACAUGUACACAUAAUAUUUUUCAUAUCACAGCUCGAGUGAGGGCCACACUCGAGCCUCCUUCUUGAUUUAAUAUAAACUUGAUCAGAUUGAGACUUAAAAUAGAUGUGUAAAGCACAUUUCCUUAUUACUACUUAAAUAUAUUACAUUGUAUAUACAAAAUGUACACAAAUUAUGUAUUGGCAAUUCGGACUCAAAUCCGACAGAAAGGAUAACUAGCAAUGAAGUAGCUGGAAAUGAGCUCGAGUGAGGGCCAUACUGUAGCCUGAUGAUCACAAGAGUGAUAUCGUUAUACUCACUCGAGAAUCAUUCUGCUGAAUUUUUGAUUUCAGCCGUAGUGAGGGCUAUACCGUAGCCUGAUGAUCACCAGAGUGAUAUCGUAAUUCACACUAGAGCCUAAUCAGUAGUUAUUAAAUAAUUUUUGAUUUCAGCCGUAGUGAGGGCUAUACCGUAGCCUGAUGAUCACCAGAGUGAUAUCGUAAUUCACACUAGAGCCUAAUCAGUAGUUAUUAAAUAAUAUGUACAUUGCUAAUUAUCCCUUUUUGUUCUUUUCACAGUCACAGUACGGGUGUUGAUUUUUCGUUUUUGUUGACCUGGUUUUUUACCAUGUGUGCGAGGAGCAACAAUGGUAGACUGUCCAUUUGUCGAUGUCAUGUAACCUUGUUUUUGGAUAUGAUGGCGCCUAAAUCGAUUGAAAAGUUUCUGUCUUUGCUGAGUCGUCAUUUGGACAUACUCAGUUUUAGUGACCUGAAACUGGGCAUGGGUUUGGGACAAGCGGAACUGGCCGGACCCAAUAAGGGCACCGCGCAAGUCCUCCAAUUGACCUUUAACAAGGACAGUCUACUUUAUGACAACAAUGGCUAAAGUUGUAUUAUUCGGCGAUAGCUAUAUCAAACGUCUACGAUUUUUUUGCGAAGAUCGAAUAGGCUUACAUGUUCCUUACAAUAUACGUUGGUAUGGAAAAGGCGGUCUGAGAACAGACAGAAUGGAUACAGACUUGUACGGUAGAAUGCUGGAAGAAAAAGCAGAGGUCGUGGUAGUAGCAAUUGGUGGAAAUGACAUCACCGUCACAUCAAGCCCCAAAGAGAUAGUCGGGAGAAUUUGUGAAAUUGUUGAUAAUCUAAAAGAAAAAGGGUGUAAGCACGUGUUCAUUUCGGAAAUAAUGACACGUGGGGAUUUUUCUAAGAGUCCGGGCCUUACUAAACUUUGUUUUGACAGACAACGGGUGAAAAUCAAUAAAUGUUUGGCAAAAAAAUUUAAAAACAAUUUCAUAAGAUUUCCAGACGUCAAAUUUCCGGCAGAUUACGCCAAAGAUCUCGUGCAUUUAGAAAGCAGAAAACCGGGAAACAAUGGAAUGCACAAAUACCAGUGCCGCCUACGCAGAAUAUUGUGUAGUGCAUAAAAACCAACGGUCCUUUUAAGGACCACACAACGGUCCUUUUAAGGACCACACAUUUAUCAUGAAAGAAAUAUCUUCAGUUGUUGUCAUACUUUUAUGAAAUAAAACUAUAUAAUCAUUCGCUUGCUUUUCAGGUUCAGCGUCAAAACUCAAAAAUAAAGGGAGAUAAUAACAAAACUAUUAUUUGUGUUUGUUUUUAUAAAAGAGAUUUAAUAAAAUGUAACUUUAUAAUGAAUUUUGUUUUUAUAUAUUUGAUAAAUACAUAGGAAAAACAUGGUAUAAUUUUAAACUCUAAAUAAACCUUGCGUAUUGUUUAAAAAAUUCUCUUAUAUAGUUGACUGAGACUCGUAGAAGUUAUGAACUAUAAAUCGUCAGUUAGACGGUCAUUGAACUGUUAAACUGAUAAUCAAAUGAUACGUGUCCUUCCAUGUAUCAUGUGCAUUUACAGUAUGUUAAGUAUUACGUAGAAAAUUUAAGGAUUGCAUAAAGUGUCAUAUCACGAUGAAACAAUAUCUUUUAAAUCUUACUUGCCAAUUUGGGUAAAAUUUCUCACCACUGGUGUUGAACAUGAUAA
rnacentral:lncRNA from 1 species